rnacentral:rRNA from 1 species
GGCGAACGCUGGCGGCGUGCUUAACACAUGCAAGUCGAACGGAAAGGCCCUGCUUUUGUGGGGUGCUCGAGUGGCGAACGGGUGAGUAACACGUGAGUAACCUGCCCUUGACUUUGGGAUAACUUCAGGAAACUGGGGCUAAUACCGGAUAGGAGCUCCUGCUGCAUGGUGGGGGUUGGAAAGUUUCGGCGGUUGGGGAUGGACUCGCGGCUUAUCAGCUUGUUGGUGGGGUAGUGGCUUACCAAGGCUUUGACGGGUAGCCGGCCUGAGAGGGUGACCGGCCACAUUGGGACUGAGAUACGGCCCGGACUCCGACGGGAGGCAGCAGUGGGGAAUAUUGCACAAUGGGCGGAAGCCUGAUGCAGCAACGCCGCGUGCGGGAUGACGGCCUUCGGGUUGUAAACCGCUUUCGCCUGUGACGAAGCGUGAGUGACGGUAAUGGGUAAAGAAGCACCGGCUAACUACGUG